AUUGGCUGCGCGCCUCCGCCCCGCCCCAAUGGGCCGCGACACCGCCUCUCUGAGCGGAGCGCAGCCACGUGGACGGCGGCGCGGUUGCAGGUGGGCUUUGGUCGCUCCGCACCGCACCACGAGCGUGGGAUUCAUCGAGGCCGGGCAGCUCGCCCUCGCCUUGGCCCGGGGCUUCACGGCGGCAGAAAAUGGGCGUGAACUUCACGGUGAGCAACGAGGACACGGUGAAGAGCAGCGACGUCCUCUUCCUGGCCAUGAAGGCCCCCAUUUACCCCAUUCAUCCUGGACGAGGUGGGGCCUGACAUCGAGGAGCGUCACACCGUGGUCUCCUGCGCUGCCGGGAGGGCCGGGUGGUGCUGAGCCGGGCAGGGCCAGCAGGACGGCAGAGCGCUGGCAGUGGCCUCGAGCUGACCCCAGCACUGCCUGCCGUCCCCAGCGAAGCGUUGUGCUGUGCCCAGCUGGCUGCUUUGGGCCACCUUUGCUUCAUCAGAAUAAGCUGCAGGGCUCCCUAUGGCAGGUCUUUUAUUACGUUAAAGGCUAUCAGAUCGCUUUUUCUCUCCUGAAUUUCUGCAGGCUUUGUGCUCAGUGUCUGCAGGAGAUGUUUUGGAGCCGAUGGGGCAGCUGUGGAGGUUUCUUAAGUGAAAUAAAGGGUUAUUUUCA
rnacentral:lncRNA from 1 species